rnacentral:rRNA from 1 species
AUUAGCUUGUUGGUAGGGUAACGGCCUACCAAGGCGACGAUCUAUAGCCGAGCUGAGAGGCUGACCGGCCACAUUGGAACUGAGACACGGUCCAGACUCCUACGGGAGGCAGCAGCUAAGAAUCUUCCGCAAUGGUCGAGAGACUGACGGAGCGACGCCGCGUGGAUGAUGAAGGCCUUACAGGUUGUAAAAUCCUUUUAGAUUGGACGAAUGUAUAAUGUAGGUUAUGCUGACGGUACUUUCUGAAUAAGGUCCGGCUAACUACGUGCCAGCAGCCGCGGUAAUACGUAGGGACCUAGCGUUGUUCGGAAUUAUUGGGCGUAAAGGGUACGUAGGCGGUCAAGUAAGUCAGCUGUGAAAACCCCGGGCUCAACCUGGGGCUUGCGGUUGAUACUGCUUGGCUAGAGUCACGGAGAGGAAAUUGGAAUUCCUGGUGUAGGAGUGAAAUCUAUAGAUAUCAGGAAGAACACCUGUAGCGAAGGCUGAUUUCUGGACGUGCACUGACGCUGUGGUACGAAAGUUAGGGUAGCAAACAGGAUUAGAGACCCUGGUAGUCCUAACCGUAAACGUUGUAUACUAGGUGGUGGGAGUAUUGAUCCUUUCACUGCCGCAGCUAAUGCACUAAGUAUACCGCCUGGGGAGUAUGCCGGCAACGGUGAAACUCAAAGGAAUUGACGGGGGCCCGCACAAGCAGUGGAGCAUGUUGUUCAAUUCGAUGAUACGCGAGGAACCUUACCAGGUCUUGACAUAUACCUGACGCACAUAGAAAUAUGUGUUUCCUUCGGGACAGGUAUACAGGUGCUGCAUGGUUGUCGUCAGCUCGUGCCGUGAGGUGUUGGGUUAAGUCCCGUAACGAGCGCAACCCCUAUUCUUUGUUGCUAACGGAUUAAGCUGAGCACUCGGAGGAAACUGCCGGUGACAAACCGGAGGAAGGUGGGGAUGACGUCAAAUCAUCACGGCCCUUAUGACCUGGGCUACAAACGUGCUACAAUGGACGGUACAAAGAGUUGCGAGACCGCGAGGUGGAGCUAAUCUCAAAAAAGCGUCCUCAGUUCGGAUUGGAGUCUGA